rnacentral:rRNA from 1 species
UACAGAGGUCUCAAGCGUUGUUCGGAUUCAUUGGGCGUAAAGGGUGCGUAGGCGGCGCGGUAAGUCGGGUGUGAAAUCUUGGAGCUUAACUCCGAAACUGCAUUCGAUACUGCCGUGCUUGAGGACUGGAGAGGAGACUGGAAUUCCCGGUGUAGCGGUGAAAUGCGUAGAUAUCGGGAGGAAUACCUAUGGCGAAAGCAGGCUACUGGACCGUCACUGACUCUGAUCUGCGAAAGCUAGGGGAGCAAACAGG